CAGAUAAUUUACUCACCACCAUGUCAUCCAAAAUGUUGAUGUCUUUCUUUGUUCAGUCCAGAAGAAAUUAUGUUUUUUGAAGAAAACAUUGCAGAAUUUUUCUAAUUUUAAUGGACUUUAAUAGAACCCAACAUUUAAUACUUAACUCAACACGUAACAGUUUUUUUCAACGGAGUUUCAAAGGACUAUAAACAAUCCCAAACGAGGCAUAAGGGUCUUAUCUAGCGAAACGAUUGUCAUUUUUGACAAGAAAAAUAAAAUAUAUAUACUUUUAAACCACAACUUUUCGUCGUGUAGAUCCGGUCGUGAUGCGCCAGCUGACCCCACUACGUCACCGCAAUACGUCAUCACGUCAAGAGGUCACAGAGGACGAGCGCGAAACUCCGCCCCAGUGUUUACAUGUGUUGAGAAAGAGGACCGUUCCUACGUUGUUGUAUGUCAACUGAUACUAAUUAAUGUCUUUGUGUCAGUUUAUUGUUUAAAAUGGUCCGCAAAUGUGCGUUUUAUAUAUGUAACACGUGACCUCCCUACGUCACUACGCAUUUACGUUAGAUACCGCUGGACCGGACCUUGACGAAAAGUUGUGGUUUAAAAGUAUAUAUAUUUUAUUUUUCUUGUCAAAAAUGACAAUCGUUUCGCUAGAUAAGACCCUUAUGCCUCGUUUGGGAUUGUUUAUAGUCCUUUGAAACUCCGUUGAAAAAAACUGUUACGUGUUGAGUUAAGUAUUAAAUGUUGGGUUCUAUUAAAGUCCAUUAAAAUUAGAAAAAUUCUGCAAUGUUUUCUUCAAAAAACAUAAUUUCUUCUGGACUGAACAAAGAAAGACAUCAACAUUUUGGAUGACAUGGUGGUGAGUAAAUUAUCUGGAUUUUUCUUUUAAGAAAAUGGACUAAUCCUUUAACCCCCUGGGGUCCAAAAACGCGGGGCCGCGUUUUGACGCAUUUUUUCCUGUUUCCUGUGACAUCCACUUAAAAUACUCCGUCAUUCAUAAUCAUACACAUACAUGUAAUACAUCAUUCGAAACUGUGAAGUCUCUACUUUAAUGUGAGUGCCUUCAUAAUAACAACAAAACUGUGUGCUUUUGGCAAAUAAAGAAAAUAAACAGGGAGUGCAUUUCGACAUCUCUGUCUCCUUGACCAUUUUCCUCAAACACGUUUCAAACAUGAACUGAUAACUCCGCCAAUACUUGUCACACGAACAUGAUACAUAUGUCUAAAGAAAGCCUGAAAUGUCUACUUUUACAUUAUAUAAUUAAAAUCUGAAGAACUCAUUGUCUGUUUGUGUAAUCAACAUGUAAGUAAAGAGAGGUACAGUUUUUCUGGCUCGACCUCAUUAGCGCUAAUGUAAUCCCACCUACCUUGUGCGCGCCAUUUAUAUGGAAAUUACCUGAUGCGGGCUAUGCAAACAAGAUCAACGCCCCCAAACAAUGCUUUAAGAAGCAGCGAGUUUUGAUAGUUUCAUUCACUUAUCAACGCGCUGGGAAGAUGACACGCUUUACAGGUGAGGAAGCUAUACAGAUGCUCCUGGACAGCGAGGAAGAGUUCAUUGUUUCUUCAGAAGAAGAGCAGGACUCCGACGAUGAACGUUUGUAUUUUGAAGAGCGACUUGAUCCAGCUGAGGAUAUAAUUUCUGAAGACAUCACUCUCCUCUUCAGCGGGCAUUUGCAGAAAUGCGGCGGACAUUCAUACUGGUAACGUGGCUUCAUCGUCAUUUACUCGCACGGGGGCAUGCAGAAACGAACCCGAAAUUCAUAAAGUGUAAGUUACAUUUACCGGCUUUUCUCUUCUCAAUAUUAGUAUUACUGAUGUGUUGCUUGAUUUUUUUUAAUGCAUAAAACUACGCAUAAACAUAGAACUUAUGCAUUCACAAUAUUUGUA